UGCGUUGUCCAGACCGGCAACCAAUGUGUCGAUGUUCGCGUCGUCGAGGACGAUGGCAGCGGACUUGCCGCCGAGUUCGAGGGUCGAACGGCGCAGC
rnacentral:tRNA from 1 species